ensembl:snRNA U6 U6 spliceosomal RNA
GUGCUCGCUUUGGCAGCACAUAUACUAAAAUUGAAACGAUACAGAGAAGAUUAGCAUGGCCCCUGCACAAGGAUGAAGUGCAAAUCUGUGAAGCAUUCCAUAUUUUC